GAUGAAGAACGUAGCGAAAUGCGAUAAGUAAUGUGAAUUGCAGAAUUCAGUGAAUCAUCGAAUCUUUGAACGCACCUUGCGCCCCUUGGUUAUUCCAAAGGGCAUGCCUGUUUGAGUAUCAUGAACACCUCAACUCUUGUGGUUUCCCACAAUGAGCUUGGACUGUGGAGGUUUUGUUGGCCCUGUGGUCAGCUCCUCUCAAAUGGAUCAGCUUACCGGUGUUUGGUGGCAUUACGGGUGUGAUAACUAUCUACGCUCGUGGUCGUCUCCAAAUAACCUCCAGUGAUGGAGGUUCGCUGGAGCUUAUAAAUGUCUCGCCCCAGUGAAGACAGCCUUUGAACGUUCGAUCUCAAAUCAGGUAGGACUACCCGCUGAACUUAAGCAUAUCAAUAAGCGGAGGA
rnacentral:misc_RNA from 1 species